UUCUUGUUUUUAAGACCUAGCAAUAGGUAUGCUUAGGGAGGAGCUUGCGUCACAUUAGUUAGUUGGUGGGGUAAAGGCCUACCAAGACUAUGAUGUGUAGCCGGGCUGAGAGGUUGAACGGCCACAUUGGGACUGAGACACGGCCCAAACUCCUACGGGAGGCAGCAGUAGGGAAUUUUCGGCAAUGGAGGAAACUCUGACCGAGCAACGCCGCGUGAACGAUGAAGUAUUUCGGUACGUAAAGUUCUUUUAUUAGGGAAGAAUAAAUGAUGGAAAAAUCAUUCUGACGGUACCUAAUGAAUAAGCCCCGGCUAACUAUGUGCCAGCAGCCGCGGUAAUACAUAGGGGGCAAGCGUUAUCCGGAAUUAUUGGGCGUAAAGGGUGCGUAGGCGGUUAAAUAAGUUUAUGGUCUAAGUGCAAUGCUCAACAUUGUGAUGCUAUAAAAACUGUUUAGCUAGAGUAAGAUAGAGGCAAGUGGAAUUCCAUGUGUAGUGGUAAAAUGCGUAAAUAUAUGGAGGAACACCAGUAGCGAAGGCGGCUUGCUGGGUCUUUACUGACGCUGAGGCACGAAAGCGUGGGGAGCAAACAGGAUUAGAUACCCUGGUAGUCCACGCCGUAAACGAUGAGUACUAAACGUUGGGUAAAACCAGUGUUGAAGUUAACACAUUAAGUACUCCGCCUGAGUAGUACGUACGCAAGUAUGAAACUUAAAGGAAUUGACGGGACUCCGCACAAGCGGUGGAUCAUGUUGUUUAAUUCGAAGGUACCCGAAAAACCUCACCAGGUCUUGACAUGCUUCUGCAAAGCUGUAGAAACACAGUGGAGGUUAUCAGUUGCACAGGUGGUGCAUGGUUGUCGUCAGCUCGUGUCGUGAGAUGUUGGGUUAAGUCCCGCAACGAGCGCAACCCUUAUUGUUAGUUACCAGCACGUAAUGGUGGGGACUUUAGCAAGACUGCCAGUGAUAAAUUGGAGGAAGGUGGGGACGACGUCAAAUCAUCAUGCCCCUUAUGACCUGGGCUACAAACGUGAUACAAUGGCUGUUACAAAGGGUAGCUGAAGCGCAAGUUUUUGGCGAAUCUCAAAAAAACAGUCUCAGUUCGGAUUGAAGUCUGCAACUCGACUUCAUGAAGUUGGAAUCGCUAGUAAUCGCGAAUCAGCAUGUCCCGGUGAA
rnacentral:rRNA from 1 species